UACGAAGGGGGCUAGCGUUGCUCGGAAUCACUGGGCGUAAAGCGCACGUAGGUGGCCUCUUAAGUCGGGGGUGAAAUCCUGGAGCUCAACUCCAGAACUGCCUUCGAUACUGGGAGUCUUGAGUUCGGGAGAGGUGAGUGGAACUGCGAGUGUAGAGGUGAAAUUCGUAGAUAUUCGCAAGAACACCAGUGGCGAAGGCGGCUCACUGGCCCGAUACUGACGCUGAGGCACGAAAGCGUGGGGAGCAAACAGG
rnacentral:rRNA from 1 species